GCCAUCUUAGAUAUAAUUUGGUGUCAGGACUCUUGUCGUAGGAACUUGUGGUGCCUUGCUCUCCAUCUCACACUUUCCUUCGUAAGGUUGACCUCCACCCCCCACCCCCACCCCCACCAUUCUGAUCUGUUCUGUCUGGAGGAUGGCUCAUACAGGGACUGGAAGUCAGCAAAGAGUUCCCAGGGGAAGGCUUUGGCAUCCACAUUAUUCCUGCCUGGAAGCUGACUUGAAAACAGGAAGCUCAGAGCUUCACAUGAAGAAUGAUGGGACAGAAAGACACAGAGGACCUGAUAGCACCAACCAGUAACUGUGCCAGCCCCAGGCUGUUGACCUCCACACUUCUCAUUAUUUGAGAAAAAUGAGGUCGGGCUCAGCAGCUUAAGUCUCUUAGAGUUGAAUUUGCUGUUGUCUGUAACAAAACUUGGUCUUAAAUUAUACAAGUGUGAUCCCUCAGA
rnacentral:lncRNA from 1 species